AACACUGAACACUCGGUGUGUGACGGUGGAACAAUGUACAGGUCCCCAUUAUAAUAAUUUGCAAGUGACCAGAAAAAAUGAGUUAUUCUACUGCUUUUUUAUAUAAACAUCAAGAAGGAAGCACAUUCGGAAAAAUGGUAUUUGAAGCACUAAAAAUGAGGCAAACGCAUUGAACCAGGACAUUUCUGCAACCAACGAAACAGCAUUAUGCAAUCAUACUUUCACUAGACAACUGAAGGUAACACAAAAAAGUCAAAUAUCAUUCUAUAAACAUCCACGGAAAAGUGAGUACUGUUUCUAAGUGAGAUGUUCCUCAAAGAUGUGUAGAAGAAGGAUGGAAGCUACUUCAAACACUACUUCGACGCAUUAUACAGUGGCUUGUAUUCUGUAGAUCACUGCGAUGAAUGGUGUGCAUAUUACCACACCUGUGCAAUACAUAACGUAGACUACAGCAGCUUCCUCGAAUGUGUGGCUGGAUGGUAUCCAGUAAAACCUGUACGUGGUCUCAGGCAUCAUGUAUGGGAGUCAGGUGGUGAAAAUUCUUCUUGUCUGAGUCUUUCUGUGCAUUUAUAUUUACAAUACUCAGUGUUGCUAAUACAAACCUGUGGGUUAUUUUAAUACAGAUAGUUUGAGCGUUUUCAUUGAAGUUUUAUUUAAACAUG